AAAAUGAGAAGAGAUCCACCGCACCAACCCCAAAACCCAAACCAACCCAAGCGCUCCCUCGCCCGCACGCUGUCUUUCUUCCUCCUCUCCCCACGACUCACCCAACUCGCCGCCGGCGACCUCCUGCCCUCAGCCUCCGCCCCCUACCACACCGACGGCGCCCCCCACCCUCUCCUUCUUCCCCAAGCCGCCGCGUCAAGCCUCUCCUCGCGCCCGAAACCCUAGCCCGCGGCGCGGCCAUGGCGACCGAGCUCUGGAUCCGCAGGCUCGAGGUGCGGCGCUGGGUCAGGAUGCGCCGGCCACGAGGCCAGAAGGCUGUCGGUUCCGAGAACUGGGCGGCGCACCCUGCAGCUCGGUCGACCUCCAAUGGAGAAGGCCCCGGAUCUGUACUCCCCUUCUUCCGCGACCAGCCUCGACGCCCGCCUUCUUCCCAGGAGCGGCGGCCACGACGGCCCGUCGCUCUCGUCUUCUCCCGCCGCUGCGGAGGACGAGCCACGACGAGCAGCAGAGGAGGCGUGCCGCUGCUACCACGACGCGACGUCCCAUGCUCUUGUCCUCUCCCGACGCGGCAGAGGACGAGAUGCGGCGAGCUGCAGAGGAGGCGUGUCGUGUGGCUGGACCAAGGUAUUGCUCUGUAGGGCGGGGCUUGGCCAUCUUCUUCGCCCAGCACCACCACCACCACCGUCAGAUGCUGUGAACGCGAGCAGCUGCAGCUGCAGGCGCCGUACGACCACGACCAGAAGCACCAUCAUCUCUGGCAUCGGGCGCGCUACGAGGACGGCCCGUCUCUGCUUCAUGUCACGCCCUGCUCGUGUCCAUGGCGGGUGCGUGCGCGGUGGCCGCGCCAUCCCGGGCAACAGUCUCCGGCCGCGGCGCAGCCUUGCCGCCGGGGCGCGGCUUCCGCGUGAGCUGCCGGCGCUCGGCGAGGAGACGCGUCGGCGGUCGCGCUCGCGUGUCCCGCGACACCAACGGUGCUGAGGCUGAGCCGGACAGCAAGGGUCCAAUCCCGCAGGAUGACUCGGGCUACCUCCUGACGCUGGGGCUCGGGUCCGGCGGCGGCGCGGCGACCGUGAAGUAUGACAGCAUGCUCCAACCAGUCAUCUCCGGCGUGCUCACGCAUCUGCACGACCAGAAGCACAAUCAUGUUUUACUUCGGUGAUGGAGAAAGUCAAAGAACCCAAAGCAAAUUGGGACAGUGUUGCUCAUACAAUUUUUAUGAAUGCGUGCGUAGAGGAGGUUCGAGCAAAUAACCGCAAUGGUGGUUAUUUGUCGGACAUAGGACAAGCUAAUUUGCAUAAAAAGUUCAACGAACGCUCUGGAAGAAACUAUUCGACCCGGCAAAUAAAAAAUAGGUGGGGUGUAUGUAGAAGCGAGUACAACACAUGGAAGACAUUGAUCCAACAAGCAUCUGGCUUAGGAAGAGAUGCGCAUAUACACACUAUUGCAGCUACAAAUGAGUGGUGGGCAUUGGAGAUAAAGGCACAUCCAGAAGCUGCCAAGUUUCGCUAUGCUCCACUAGCGGAGGAGGAAAAAAUGUCAGAGGUUUUCGAUACUACUUGUGUCACAGAUGAGCAUGCGAGGGUGCCAACUCCCUCAUAUCAAGGUGAUCCCUCUCAAAUCAGUUUGGAGGAUGACUCAGGGUGUGAUAGUCAUGAAGGGCAAGUUACCCCUGUUCAAAAUCGAGCCAAGGGUGGGAAGAAGAGGGCGUGUCCUUAUUCGCCAAGUCCAAAGAUGAAUGACAAGUGAGCAAGUGAGAAUGCUAAAAAUGAGGCUUUUGUACGCAUGGUGGACAUCUUUGGUGCAAGAGACAAGAGGGAUGCAGAGGAGAGGGCAAGGGAGAAGAGGGAUGAAGAGGAAAGGGCAAGGGAGAAGAGGGAUGCAGAGAAGAGGGAUGUAGAGGAGAGUGUGGAUCCAACAAGACAAGAGAUUAAACAAAUGAUGGCCAUGGUGGAAGCGGAUGGUGCAAAACCAGGAAGUGAUGAGCAUUUCUAUGCUACAUUUCAUUUCAUGGAAAAGAAAUAUCGUGAUGUUUUCUCCACUUUCACGGCUCAUGAAUCUGUUGUAAGGCUUGGAUGGAUAAAGAGGAUGUGGGAGCUCAAUAAUAAGUAGAACAUCUAUGUUUUAAUUGCUUUCUACCAGACUAUUUACUUGUAAUGUUGUGAGCUAAGCUACUUGCUUUGGAGGUGUACUUUUGUGAACUAAGCUAUUUGCUUUGGAGAUGUAUUGUUAUCUGAACUGUGUUGUAUCUAAUAUUACACUAUGUGCAUGUUGUUGUGGCAGAUGGAUAAAUCCAGAAAGAAACAAGAAGAUGUUAUGUGCAUGUUGUUGUAUCU